AUCUGUGAGCAGCUAUGAGAAGUUUGGAAAAGAAGUAAAUACAAAUACAAUCCGUAUCAACAAUGUUAGCAACAAUUAUUUCGAAGUCGAUCCUAAACUCUAGUCUUAGUCCAACAAGGCAUUUUUAACAUAACCAUAAUCAUCAUUUCUCAACCAAUGUCGUAUAGCCAAGAAUGGAAAAGGGUCCAGUUCUGGAUCAUCUUUGUUGUAAAAUGGUAAUGUUCUCAAUAAAGGCAUGAGAAGUGUUGACGAUAUUAAACUGUCAUUUCCUCUAAAUAUUGGAAUGAUAUUAGCUUCUUAAUUAGAAAAUUAUUGCCAAGAAUCGGAUUCAAUCUUAUGUAGGACGUCAAAAUAAUUCCAUCGACAUCAUCAAGACCUAAAAAAAAGACAAUCCAAAUUGUUUAAAUGUAUAUUUGUGAUGGACAUUACCGAAGUUUGAUUAAAAAUUAUGUAAAAAUGA
rnacentral:lncRNA from 1 species